rnacentral:rRNA from 1 species
UCCUACGGGGCGCAGCAGUGAGGAAUAUUGGUCAAUGGGCGCGAGCCUGAACCAGCCAAGUCGCGUGAGGGAAGACGGUCCUAUGGAUUGUAAACCUCUUUUGUCGGGGAGCAAAAGACGCCACGCGUGGCGUUCCGAGAGUACCCGAAGAAAAAGCAUCGGCUAACUCCGUGCCAGCAGCCGCGGUAAUACGGAGGAUGCGAGCGUUAUCCGGAUUUAUUGGGUUUAAAGGGUGCGCAGGCGGAAGAUCAAGUCAGCGGUAAAAUUGAGAGGCUCAACCUUUUCGAGCCGUUGAAACUGGUUUU